rnacentral:misc_RNA from 1 species
GUGAAGAACGCAGUGAAAUGCGAUACGUAGUGUGAAUUGCAGAAUUCAGUGAAUCAUCGAAUCUUUGAACGCACAUUGCACCUCUCGGUAUUCCGGGAGGUAUGCCUGUUCGAGCGUCAUUUGUACCCUCAAGCUCUGCUUGGUGUUGGGUGUUUGUUCCGCCUCUGUGUGUGAACUCGCCUCAAAACAAUUGGCAGCCGGCGUACUUGUUUCGGAGCGCAGCACAUUUUGCGAUCCAGAUCAACGUACAGCGGCAUCCAAGAAGCCUUAUUUAACGCUCUUGACCUCGGAUCAGGUAGGGAUACCCGCUGAACUUAAGCAUAUCAAUAAGCGGAGGA